rnacentral:tmRNA from 1 species
GGGGAUGAUCGGCCUAGACAGGGGAUCAUCUUUGCGAUGUGCAAGUCGAGAGCCAACGAUCUCGUUAAAUCAUUGGAACUGCUAAAUGCAAAAAAUUUAGUUGCAAAAGCAAAAGGAAUUGUAUCUCCGUAUUUCGGAAUCAACAACUUUGCUCCGGUUUACGCGUUAGCCUAAGCCGCAUCUUACCUGCCGACGUCCGAUACGCAGUCUAAGGUGUUAUAUAUUCGGAAUAGGAAUGUUGUACUUCUCGGCAAUGUUUCGACACUAAGAGGAUCGGCGAAAUGAGAUUUUGUUUGUUUUAUACUCAUCUCGCUUAAAAAAAUUAAACCAACUACACUCUGUAGACUCAUCGCAAACUAUUUCCUGCACGGGGGUUCGAUUCCCCCCAUCUCCACAA